GAUGAACGCUGGCGGCGUGCCUAAUACAUGCAAGUCGAGCGAACGGACGAGAAGCUUGCUUCUCUGAUGUUAGCGGCGGACGGGUGAGUAACACGUGGAUAACCUACCUAUAAGACUGGGAUAACUUCGGGAAACCGUAGCUAAUACCGGAUAAUAUUUUGAACCGCAUGGUUCAAAAGUGAAAGACGGUCUUGCUGUCACUUAUAGAUGGAUCCGCGCUGCAUUAGCUAGUUGGUAAGGUAACGGCUUACCAAGGCAACGAUGCAUAGCCGACCUGAGAGGGUGAUCGGCCACACUGGAACUGAGCCACGGUCCAGACUCCUACGGGAGGCCGCAGUAGGGAAUCUUCCGCAAUGGGCGAAAGCCUGACGGAGCAACGCCGCGUGAGUGAUGAAGGUCUUCGGAUCGUAAAACUCUGUUAUUAGGGAAGAACAUAUGUGUAAGUAACUGUGCACAUCUUGACGGUACCUAAUCAGAAAGCCACGGCUAACUACGUG
rnacentral:rRNA from 1 species